AUUGAACGCUGGCGGAAUGCUUUACACAUGCAAGUCGAACGGCAGCACGGACUUCGGUCUGGUGGCGAGUGGCGAACGGGUGAGUAAUGUAUCGGAACGUGCCCAGUCGUGGGGGAUAACGUAGUGAAAAUUACGCUAAUACUGCGUACGAUCUAUGAAUGAAAGCGGGGGAUCGCGAGACCUCGCGCGAUUGGAGCGGCCGAUAUCAGAUUAGGUAGUUGGUGGGGUAAAGGCACACCAAGCCAACGAUCUGUAGCUGGUCCGAGAGGACGACCAGCCACACUGGAACUGAGACACGGUCCAGACUCCUACGGGAGGCAGCAGUGGGGAAUUUUGGACAAUGGGCGAAAGCCUGAUCCAGCCAUUCCGCGUGCAGGAUGAAGGCCCUCGGGUUGUAAACUGCUUUUGUACAGAACGAAAAGGUUUCUACUAAUACUAGGAGCUCAUGACGGUACUGUAAGAAUAAGCACCGGCUAACUACGUGCCAGCCGCCGCAGUAA
rnacentral:rRNA from 1 species